rnacentral:rRNA from 1 species
UACGUAGGGUGCGAGCGUUAAUCGGAAUUACUGGGCGUAAAGCGUGCGCAGGCGGUUUGGUAAGACAGGCGUGAAAUCCCCGGGCGUUAACCUGGAACUGCGUUUGUGACUGCCAGGCUAGAGUACGGCAGAGGGGGUGGAAGUUCCACGUGUAGCAGUGAAAUGCGUAGAUAUGCGGAGGAACACCAAUGGCGAAGGCAAUCCCCUGGGCCCUGUACUGACGCUCAUGCACGAAAGCGUGGGGAGCAAACAGGAUUAGAAACCCCU